CCUACGGGUGGCAGCAGUGGGGAAUAUUGGACAAUGGGGGGAACGCUGAUCCAGCGACGCCGCGUGAGUGAAGAAGUAUCUCGGUAUGUAAAGCCCUAUUAGCCGGGAAGAAAAUGACGGUACCUGACAAAGAUGCACCGGCUAAAUACGUGCCAGCAGCCGCGGUAAAAUGUAGGGGGCAACGGUUAUCCGGAUUUUCUGGGUGUAAAGGGAGCGUAGAGGGUGUAGCAAGUCUGAUGGGAAAGGUCCGGGCCCAAACCCCGGACUGCAUUGGAAACUGUAGACCUUGAGUACAGGAGAGGUAAGCGGAAUUCCUGGUGUAGCGGUGAAAUGCAUAGAUAUUAGGAGGAACACCAGUGGCGAAGGCGGCUUACUGGACUGUAACUGACGUUGAGGCACGAAAGCGUGGGGAGCGAACAGGAUUAGAUACCCGAGUAGUC
rnacentral:rRNA from 1 species